AUGUUACUUGCUUUCUUUUUAUAUAAUAAAUUGCGUAUCUAAUGUAAUCGUUUCGCGAUCGGGAGUGUCGUGCAAAGUAUCUCUCUCGCGUUCGUUGCGUGUACAAUUAAGCAUGAUUAAUUGUGUUUUCGCGAGUGAAUGUGAGUGCCAUGAGAAGACAGAAAAGGAUGAACAAGAGAGGAAAAGGAGAUCUAUAAAAGUAUCAGACGACGGAUAAAACAACGAUAAGCGGGAUGAGAAUGGAAGAGGAUGGACUUCGAAGCAGGAUAAGGAGCAGGAUGCGGAGCCAUCGGGGAAGAGGACCAAGGUGAGGAGAACGCGAGAACGAGAGAAAAAUGAUCGACGAGACGAAGAAAAAGA